rnacentral:lncRNA from 1 species
GUGUUCCGAGGGCAGUCACUAAAGGCUGGCUGAAGGAGUGAUGCAAACUUUUGAUGGGUGGAAAGCAUACAUUUUAGUGAAGAGGGAAGAAAACACAACCAAGGUAAGAAAAGGAGAUACCUCCCACAACGUACUGCAGAGUUGAAAGAGUCCUAGACUUGGGGACUUGGGUUCUACUCCUGACUCUAACAGUACAUCACUGAGAAAAGUCUUAUAAGUCUCCAGAUGGAGGAAGAUAGGUAACAAAUUGCUGAAGGGACUUGCCUCCUUCAUCUGCAACCAGAACCUGAGACUCCAAAACCUUCUAGUGAUACUUCCACAAAUGAACACGUUUGCUCUUUGCUUAUGUGCUCAGUGAAUGGUUUAUUGAAUUUUCUGACUCAAAAUGGUUAAUUCUGUUGAUUUUUUAAAAUGUCAAAAUUAAAUGGCUGGACUGGAGAUCGAUAAGAUCCUUUUCAACCCUAAAAUUCUAUGGUGUGUUCUACAAUGUUUGUAAAAAGCCAAGUUUUGUUUUGCUAGUGCAGAGUCUCAGGGUCCCCAGGCCAGCCUAAUUCAGUUAGGGUAUGGGAAUACCUUGCUGGAUCAUCAUCUGGGAGGAGAAUAAAUAGUGGCAUGGCCAUCUCUGCUCCAGGAAUUAGACAUGUUGCUCCAGUGUGCUGGACUUCGGUAGUUUUCCCUGCUUGUUAUCCUUUCCUUCUAUUCCUUUCAGCUCUCCCCUUUGGAGAACCACCUCUCUGCCAUUCUCAAUCCAUGUGGUGAUGGUCAGGCUGAACUUCUCACCCAUUCGUCAAGUGGGCACUUGACUAAUGUUCGGCCAACCAGAAUAUUCUACACCCUCUAGCCACAGUGUUUGCUUCAGGAAUGAGAACUUAAGACAGCCUAAUGAAAAUCAGCCUAUAAGGAUUUUUGCCAGAACAAUUGAGAAUGAGACUCUCUCUUUGCUUUAGAGUCACUAAACUACAUGGAUAUAAGCUUGAAGCUGCAGGUGGCCAUCAACCCUUGAGGGGAUCCUGGGCCUGAAAAUGAAGGCAUAAAGGAAAACAAAACUGAGACAUAGAGAGAGAUGAAUUCCUUGAACAUGAUGCCUGAAGUUAGAUUUGCCCCUGGCUGUUUCAGUCCAAUGAGCCAGUAAAUUCCCUCUUUUACUUAAGUUGAUUUUAAUUGGGUUUUGUCACUUGCAAUGAGAAAUGUCCCAACUAACACAGUCGCCUUGAUACUCAGGGUGAUAUGCAGGGAGAGGAGAAAGAGACACCUGCAAUAUAGUGAGCAAAUUCAGUGAGCAAUAGCAUAAAUACAGCUAAAAUACAACUGAUCAGUUAAUACUUGACCCAUUGUAGUCACAGUGAUAAUGUGGUGGGGAGGGUUUGGUAAAGCAGAAUCCUCAAGCAAUUGGCAUCAGGGUCAUCCAGGGAGGUUUUUUUUUUUUUUUCUUUCUUAAGAAUUUAGAUUCCAGGGCUUUACCCAGACCUACUAUUCAGAAUCUGUGAAUAGAGGCCUGGAAUUUGCUUUCCUAAAAGAUUCCCAGGGUAUAAAGUUUGAUAUUCACUGUCCUAGUAAUGAGAGCUCAGACUUUGAAAUUAGAAGGUUUGGGUUUAUAUCUAGUCUCUGCCAUUUACUACUUGUAUGACCUUGGGCUAAUAACCUUCAGUCUCAGCUUUUUCAGUGGUUAAUAAUGCCUCAUAGGGUUGUGAGAAUAAAUAAGAAAAUGUAUUCAUGUAAAAUAUUUACCCUGCUGCUUUUUUAUAUAGGGAAAUUUAGAAACUAUUGUUAUUACUAAAACCUACACCUAUAAGAGAAGGGAGCAGACUUAAGAAAAUGCAAAAGAAACAUAUAAGCAUUACGUUUGAAUUAUGGUGCUCCUUGGAAUCUAUGACAUAGCAGGCAUAGUGGUUAAGACUGAAGUCUCUGGAGUAGGAAUGUCUGAAUGAAACUCUGGUUCUGCCACUUACCAGCUAUGUGACCUCCUGCUGAGCUGCUUGUGCCUUUGCUUUUUCAUCUGUAAAAUGGGAUUAAUAUUGGUACUUAACUUACAUCUUUUUUUGGGGUAAUGAUGAAAUAAGAUCAUGAAUGAGAAGGGCAUAGAUGAUACUUGCUAGUUUUAUUACGACCAUUUUCUUCUUUUCCAAUUACAUUAAUGCUUUUCCCUUGUGGUUAACCCCCACAUAGCUUUAUUCCUCUGAGAUCCUCUUCCACUGGCCUCUGCUCUUUUAUUAAAUAAAGAAAUUAGAUUCAGAGAUGGCCUCCCACUCCCAGCCUUGAACUUGAGUUGAAUCUCCCUAGAGAGGGCCCAAGGCUGGGGAAUGGUAGAGAUACCUGCUUUGUGCUAUGGGGCCCUGGUUUUUAUGCUGACAGCCUACGUGCUUGGAGAAGUGUCUGGAACUUCAAGUUGACAUUUGCAAUGUGUCAAAGCCCUGAGCAUUUCCUUUCUAACCGAGCCCUAGGAAACCUCAGGGCCCAAUGUAUUAAGCACAUGAAGAACUCAGGGCCCAAUGUAUUAAGCAAAUGAAGAAAAAGCAGCCGUGUUUGGGCAGUAAGUCAUGCUGAUGGAUGUAGCACUCCAGUCCUGCCUACUAUAUCUGUGUAGGUAUUGAACAUCCAAAGAUCUGUUCCAUACAACUUUUCAAGUGAAAAAAAAAUAACAGCAAGCCUCAUAACAAGAAAAUAAUUGCAGGAGCAAAAUGACAAUGUUUGGCAGUGCUGCAAAAGUGCUUGGAAGAAUUUGAGGAAAUAUCUGUACCUGAAAUACAAGUUGUGCCUCAUCUUCCUCAUUUAUUAAGUUGAAACAUAAUAUUUAAUGUUGCUUUUAAUCUGGAUUAUUUAAGAUUCUUAGAUUCAAGAUUCUAUGACAUUAUCCAAAGGCACUUCUCUUAGGAAGUCUCUCUGUUCCCACUGGUUUCCAACAGUGGGAGGUGGGAUGGGUGACAUCUGCAGAUAAAACCAGGCCGUGCUGUUGAACAGUUGGCAAAUCCAAGUGAUUCUCUUCUCCCUGGAAUGGGUGCAGGGUUGCAUAUUAAUUUACAAUUACUCAUAAAGUAGACAGCAAAGGCUUCUCUUUUGUCAACACUUAGACAUACAAAUUAGGUAAUAUUGAAUGGGCAAUGAAUAUUUCAUUUCCACCUUGCCUCCUGGUGCCAAUCACUGUAAAUGAGGCUAGAUUAAUAUCCGAAAUGACUCACACUCCGUUAGGUAUCCAAGUCUGGGCCCCUCAGACUCGCUCUAUUUUGGCCUUAAUUUGUCAGCUGGAUUUUGUUAGUGACUAUGCAAGACAGAAGCAGGAACACAUAGUUUACCUCAACUUUAUGCUGGACAUGAACUUCAGUGUUUCAAAGUGAUCUUUGGUUCUGAUAAUAUGGCAGAGCAAACUUGUACAAAGGAUGAAUAAAAAAUAGAAAUAGAAUUUUUAAAAAUAUUCCGGCAUAAAAGAAAAAAAAAAUCCCCAGGUACAAGAAUUGAAGAGAGAAAUCAAAGCCAGGGCAGUAAUGGAGAGUUGGUAUUUCAGCAAAAUUUUCUGACCCAGAUAUAAGCCCUAAGAGCUGAAGGUUGGGGAUUUAACACCCACUGGGGUACAGGAAAUGUGGCCUCAAGCCCUUGCUAGGUAGGGAAAAUAGAACUAAGCUUCAGCAUAAAGCCAUGAGCCUUGAAAAGUUGCAUUGUCCGUGGGAUGGUGACUACAAAAACUCCACAUCUGAGUCCAGGAAAGAAGCAAGUAAGCUUGCCACCCAUCUAGAACCCCAGUUAAAAAAAAAAAAAAAAAAAGAAAAAGAAGCUGUGUCCAAAAAAUCAAAACCCCAGGUCUGGGCCACAUAUGGGCAUGGUAUCUAAAUGUAUACCAGUGAUAAGUUAGCAUAGAUUGCCUAAGUCUAUGAAACCCCUAGGAUAUAAUAGGGGAAAUUGUGAAACUGAAUUGUUGGGACAUUUUUACAAAUCAGGGCAUGAAGUACUCACACCCAGAAAUUUACCAUCAUAAGGAAGAUACUAAAUGCUUCAAAAGGAUAAUUAGCACCUUAAAGAUUCGAAAUAAUAGAAAUAUCUUUAUGAGACUAUAAAAUAAGAGCAUUUAAAAUUAUUAAAGAUAGAAGAAGUAGUAUGAUACAAGAAGCAGAAAAUUCAAAAGAAAUAUAUAAAUAGGACUCAUGCAUAAGUUGGUUUGCCCAGCACGGAGGGAUUUCUCAGGAGACAAGAUUCUCAAUACUAAGGGAGACUCUCAUUAGGCAAAGCAUGUGGUGGUCAUGUUACUUCCACUGGGUAACCAAAGAGGUUUUAAUGAAGAGACCGUUUACAAACGUGUGGACAGAAUUUGGGGAAACCAGCAAGGAACAAUACAGCGCCCUGGACCUAACCACAGGGAGCCACUACUACCAACUCUGGGAGGGAAACGGCCGACAGAAGUCAGGACUAACUUGCAGCUCCCACUCAGGCAGGCAGAGCAGCGUGUGGAGACCCACAUCGUAAACUUUUGCUCCAUUACUAUCCUCAAGUCUGAAGGGGCAAGGAGAGGGUGCCAUUACUGAAACUCCGAGAAAUAAGCCCCACGGAGAAGCCCUUAAUGGAAGGAAAUAGGAAAGAAGCAAGGAGAAUAAGCACACCAUUUUCACUCUCCACCUACCUUCCCUCUGAACUCCUGUUGAGACCUCCCAUUGGCCAGACUCAGCUAAAAGCCAGAGAGCAAAGAAGUUCUUUGACCUAGUCUACACAGGCCAGCCUCCUGAAACACAGAUCAAGAAGGGUGCAGAAUGGAUCUUGAAGGGUAAACGAAAAACAGUCGGGACAAAAGCACAAUGAAAUUGACCAUCUGAAUACCUGUAUAUAAAACCUUGCAAGUUAAAGCAGGUUGUGCAAAACCAGAGUUAGGAGGAAAAUAGCAGGCUAAAAGUUAGAAGAGCUGAGCCCUGGUGACACCUUUGGUAUUUACAAUCAGUGUGACUUUGAGAAAGUGUCUUUGUUUACUCAAGCUUCUAUAUUAUUAAUUAAGAAUGAGGCUGGGCAUGGUGGCUCAUGCCUGUAAUCCUAGCACUUUGGGAGGUCGAAGUGGGUGGAUCACUUGAGCGCAGGAGUUUGAGACCAGCCUGGGCAACAUGCCAAGACCCUGUCUCUACCAAAAGAAUACAAAAAUUAACCAGGCCUGGUGGCACACACCUGUAGUCACAGCUACUCGGGAGGCUGAAAUAGGAGAAUCGCAUGCACCUGGGGAGGUCAAGGUUGCAGUGAGCCAUGAUUGUGCCACUGUACUCCAGCCUGGGUGACAGAGUGAGAUGCUGUCUUAAAAAAAAAAAAAAUUAACAGUGAAAUUUUUCUAGAAUAGAAGUCUCACACUGGAAGCCCUUGGAUCAAAUCUUAGUGGAGUAUAUUGUUUACAGAAUGUUUUAGACUAAAUCUGAAUAAUUCAAUAACAUUGAAAAAUUGAGGAAAAUUCAUAAAAUAAUGUGGAUUUCUAGCUUUCUUUGUGUUUUCGUUUGGCAACAAUUGUCUAAAGGCAAGGUCCUCACUCCCAUUUCUACACCGACCAUCCCUUCUGGCCCACUUCACUCAUUUCUGUUACCUGCCUGCAGCCCUGUGGGAACUGGUAUUUGCAACCUUGAAUAGCACUUUCAACUUUCAGGUUUAACAGUCUGUGAAAUUUAAGGCAUCACUGUAGGUUUUGACUAUGAACAUGGGCUUUCUGAGUUUUUUAAUCGAGGUGGAUUGGGAAGUUGGCAGGUGGCUUUUUGCAUAUCUUCCUUUACAUCUUAAACACAGCACAUAUGCAGUUUUAUGAAGCAUAUGGUCUUCCAUGUGCAUAACUACACUUUGUUGAUUUUUCCUUUUCCUAAGUUCUCCAAAAGCCCAGUAGAAUAAACACAAGCUGCCACUUGGAAAACAAUUCUGAAGAAAAGCCCAUCUGGGGAGAAAAAGUGAGGCAAUCCAAAAAGCCGCCAAGUGACCACAUUUCUGGAGUAAGUUUUUACAGUUCACAGAGACCAUGACUCUUUUCUCCCCUUGGCAUGAUAUAUGAUGAGCAUGGUGUCAAACAGCUCGUGGUGACAUUGCCUUUGCUCUUUGGGCUUGUGGCAGGGAAUGGGUGAAAAAGGCAAAUUCAACCUUUCUGUGGCAGACCUUGAUUGGAAACAACGUGUGAACAUUUUACCUGGUGAUGAGCCCUGAGUUUUACAUCAGCCAACAGCCAUGGCAGCAGAUGACAGAAAAAAACGGAAUCUUUUCCAGACUUGGAGAAAGAUAAAUCUGAAAAGGAGUUUUUCCCUAUAGACCAGCUCUGCUUAGGAGAUACUCACUGUGAGUUGUCAGAUCAGGGAACUUUGAGGUAAGCAUUAAUGAGAAUUGCACUAACUUUCCCUGAGGGACCAAGAAACUGGGAUUCUCUAGCCAACAUUUUGUCCUGAGAACGAUUGCUCACCCAGCUCCAUGGAGGAUUUUCCCUUCAGCCCAUCCCUCAGGGCUUACCCUGUGCACAGUUUCAGCUACUACUGGAAAAUGACUCAAAGAAUUAAAGUGUUGAAAUAGAUGCCCCUAACUCCUUUGCUAGAAUAAACAAGGAUUGUGGGUAGAAUGUAAAUUAUUAAAAUGCAUUAACUUUCUCCUGGACAAGUCUGGUGCUAAUCACCUUUGCCGCGAGGAAAGAUAAAUGGGUUGUGCGUGUUGCAGGCUGAACUGGCACCUGACGAAAUCGUGAAGUAGCAAAGUUUGUCUUGAUGAUUCCUGUUCCAGAACAUCUCCUAUUCCCUUUCUGGAGUCCUUUUGUUGUCCACCAUUUCCCAUUCCUGUGCCUUCCUGUUGCACACCUGAUACCUCCUAUUAGCUUUAUAUGCCUGUCUCCCCUCCAAGCGCAGCUGUCCCCUGGCCCUCAUCAAGGCUCACUUCUCCUCUGUGCCACUAUGUCAAUGAGAUUUCCUGAUGGAUAGGGUGAUCUAUAAUUUAGUAUCCAAAAUUGGACACGUUUGAGAGUAAAAGAGAGUUAAUAAUAAUCAUCAUAGUCUGUUUGGGCUGCUGUAAUAAAAUAGUAUGGACUGGGUAGCUUAUAAGUAACAGACAUGUCUUUCUUACAGUUCUGGGGCCUGGGAAGUCCAAGAUCAAGAUGCUGGCAGAUUCAGUGUCUGGUGAGGGCCUGCUUUCUGAUUCAUAGAUGGUGCCUUCUCACUGUGUCCUCACAUGGUGGAAGGAGCAAACAAGCCUCUUUGGGCCUCUUUUAUAAGGAAACGAUCCCAUUCAUGAGGGUGGAACCUUGCAAAAUGCCCCACCUUCUAAUACUAUCACCUUGGGAGCUAGAAUUUCAACCUAUGAAUUUUUAGGGGGACAUAAACUUCACAUGAUAUCAAUCAUUAUACCUACAUGACAACAUUUUAGUCCACCCCCAAGAGUAUAUUUGUAUUUCCACAGGGUCUUCUAAUGAUAUUUUGUCUUGACUCCGAAAGGGACCCUUAAGGUUGAAGAUUCUGAUAUUCUGACAUAGUAGCAGGUGAGCUCAACAAUUUGGGGGCAGGUAAGGCUUUUGUAGCAAAUCAGAGCAAACCAUGUAAGUGUCUAGGGAGUCCCAUUUAGAAAUAAAUAAAUCUAACACCUACCUUUGGAAACUUUUAGUUUAAUUUGGAAAGUCAGGACCAACAGGGAUGAAAAGUGUUUGAGACAGGUUUAGAGAAAAAAGUGAUGGGUGUCACUUUUUAAUUAAAACAAAUUUUAAACCUCCAUCCUCUUCACCCCUACAACAACAACAACAACAAAAUACUAAACUAUACUAUUUAUGGAGGUGGGAACUUACCUUCUAUGGGCUGGCAAAAGUAAGUAGAUUGACCAAAAAAUAGCAAGGAUUAUUAAUAAAUGCUAUGAGAGAAACAAACUAAGGGUGAAGACAACCAAGUAGGGCUACUUCAGGUACAGUCAAGAAAAGCCUCUCAGACAAGCUGGCAUUAGUCUUAGACCUGAAGUAUGAGGAUGGCCCAGCCAUGUGAAGAAGCAGGGGACAGCACCCAGGACAAGAAGGCAACACAUGCAAAGGCUGUGAUUCCUGGGGUGAGCUUGAGGUGCCUGGAGGAUGGUCAGGGAAAGAUAGUGUGGAACAAAGUAAAUUGGAAAGGCAGGCUGGAACCCUGAAAGUCUCCAUAGAGUCUGGAUUUUAUUCUAAGUGUAAUGAGGAUCACUUGAAGUUUAUGAAAUUUACAUAUGCUGAAAUGUACAGAGCUUGAGUGUGCCAUUCUACCAGGAGUGAUAAGUCCAUAUGCCCUACAACAAAUUCCCUAGUCACAACAUAGAAUAUUCCCAUCAACCCAGGAAGUUCCCUUAUGCCUUUUUCCAAUCAAUUACCACCCCCAAUAGGCAAUCACUCUUCUGAUUUCCAUCACCAUAUAUAUGUUUUGCCUAUUCUUAACUUCAUAUAAAUAAAAUCAUACACUAUGUAUUGUUUUGUGUCUCGCUUUCCCUCAGCAUAGUGUUUUUGAGAUUCAUCCAAGUUGUUCAUUCCUUUGUAUUGCUAAGUAACAUUCUAUUGUAUAAAUGUUCAUAAUUGGCUUAUCCAUUCUGUUGAAGGGCUUCCCCCAGCCCCCAGGUUUUGGCCAUUAUAAAUAAAGCUGCUAUAAACAUUUCUAUAUAAGUCUUUUUGAGGACUUCUCCUAGGUAAAUAACUAGGAGUGGAAUUGCUGGAUCACAGACUAGGUAUAUUAUUAUUUUCUUUUAUGUUUUGAAUUAAUUAGCUUUAUUGUGGUAUAAUUUACAUACAAUAAAAUUCACCCUAUUUUAAGUAAAUUAUUUGAUGAGUUUUGACAAAUACAUGCAGUGUGUAACCAUCACCACCAUCAUAAUAUAGAACUUUUACAUCAUUCCCCAAAUUUUCUCAUGCCUCUUUGCAAUCAAUGUCCUUCCCCUACUCAUUGUCCUUGGCAGUCAUUGAUUUGCUCUCUGUCAUCACAGUUUUACAUUUCCUAGACUUUCAUAUAUUAAUGAAAUCAUAUGUUAUACUGUCUUUUAUGUCUCACUUCUUUUACUUAUAAUGCUUUUGAUAUUUAUCCAUAUUGAUACAUGUAUUACUAGUUCACUCCUUUAAAUUGCUGAGUAGUAUUCCAUUGUAUGGAUAUGAUACCAUUUGUUCAUCCAUUCAUUCAUCAGUUGAUACACAUUUAGGAUGUUUUCAGUUUGGGGCUGUUAUGAAAAAAGUUGCUAUAAAUAUUUAAAUAUGAUUUUUAAGAGUGAAAUUGCUUAGUUAUGUGCUAAGUAUAUGUUAACUUAUAUGAAAGUGAAAAAUAUAUUCCAAUGUAGCUGUUCAUUUUACAUUUCCACUAGCAAUGCCAGAGAGUUCCAGGGGCCUCACAACCUUCUUAAAUUUUGACAAUUCUAGGCCGGGCACAGUGGCUUAUGCCUGUAAUCACAGCAGUUUGUGGGAGGCCAAGGAGGGAGGAUUGUUUGAGCCUAGGAGUUUGAGACUAGCCUGAGCAACAUAGUGAGACCCCAUCUCUACUAAAAAUAUAAAAUAAAAUAAAAUAAAAUUUGACCAUUCUAGUUAGUGUGUAGCAGAAUGUUAUUUGAUUUGGCUUUUGACAAUUUGAUUAUGGUUUCUCUAGGUGUCAGUCUCUUUGGCUUUAUCUUACUUGGAGUUUGUUGAGCUUCUUGGAUAUGUAGGUUAAUGUCAUUGUUGGUUUUUUUUUUUCGUCAAAUGGAAAAUUUGGUGAUUAUUUCUCCAAAUACUCUUUCUACCCCUUACCUACCUUGUCCCCACUCCCAUUUGGCAUCUCUUGGUAUGCUUGGUGUUAUUUCAUGGGUCUCUGAUGUUCUGUUGAUUUUCCUCCAUUUUCUUCCCUUUUUAUUCUUCAGACUGAGUCAUUUCAAUUGACCUAUCAAGAUGCUAAUUAAUAUUUGCAAAUUCUUUCUUUAGCCAGUUCACAUAUGUGGUAGAGCCCCUCUGGUGGAUUUUCGCUUCAGCUAUUAUGCUUUUCUACUCCAGAACUUGUAUUUGGUUCUUUUACAUAAUUUCUAUCUCCUUAGUGAUAGUCUCUAUUUGGUGAGCUAUUAGUCUCAUAAUUUCCUUUAGUUUUUUGGACAUGGCAUAUUUUAGUUCUUUAAAGACAUUUAAAAUAACUGAUUUAAAUUAUUUGUCUAGUAAGUCUAAUGUCUGUGCUUUUUCAGACAGUUUCUAUUGUUUGCUUUUUUUCCCUGUAUAUGGGUCAUAUUUUCUUAUUUCUUUACAUAUUUCAUAAUUUUUUGAAAACUGUUAUUUUAAAUAACAUAAUGCUGCAAAUCUGGAAGUCAGUUUCUCUCCCCUUUCUAGGAUUUUUUGUUGUUGUUGCUGCUUUCUGUUGUAGUUAUUGUUUGUUUAAUGAACUUUACUGACCUAAUUCUAUCAAAUCUGCAUUCUUUGUUGAGGGUGGCCACUGAAGUCACAGCUUAAUUAGCUUACUGGACAGCUAAUGACUGUGCAAAUAUUGUCUUAAGUGCCUAGAACAAAUAAGUCACCCAGUUUUUGCAAAGCAGCUAUGUGUGAAUACAGGAGCAUUCUCUGAACACUUAGCAAGAGAGUUGACAGCUCCACCUCAGCCCUCAAUUUUCUCUUUCAUGGAGCCUCAUGGUCAGCCAGAAGUGAGAGCUUAGGGCCUUCUCAGGCCUUUCCUGUCACUGUCCCAUGCACAUGGCUUCUUAGAUAUUCAGGAAUAUGUCAGAGCUUUUCAGAGCCCCUAUGGACAUCUCAUUCCUCAGAUUUUCCCUUUAGGCUCUUUGGUUAAUCAAUUGUUUGCCCAAGCUUUAUCCAGUACCUCAGACAGCCAUGAUGAUAAGCAGCUGCCAGUAACUAUCUCUGACAAAUGCCCCCAGGGAGGCACUGGCUGCGCUCUGACUCAGGUAAAUAAAUACAGCCUUGCUAUUGAAGUCUUCCAGGGAACCACCAGACAGGUCAAAUGACAAUUCUCUGGGAGUGGGAUUUUAAAGGAGCUCUAACCCUACCUAUUCUGCCCCUUCCAGUGGCUGCCAGGUUGCUGGUUUUCACUGUGAUGUGGGGCUGUUAGUUUUCAAGGCUAAAGUGAAGCUGGAGAAUGGGGAUGGGAGUAGGUCAACUUACAAUGCCACAAAGCUCAUUGUUCUUCAUAAGGUUCACCUGUUUUUCUUGAAUAACUGCUUCCCAGAUUCACACAAGACUUUGGUUAAUUCCUAGAAUUCUGAAAGAGUUAAUCCUGACCAUUAUUGCAAGUUUUCUCAUUGCUUUUACAGAGGAAUUUUCAAAGACGCUUACUUUGCCAUUUUUCUCACUUGGCUUUAUUUUGCAUUGUCCUAAUGACUGAUGAUAUUGAAGAGCUUUUCAUAUGCUUUUUUGUCAUUCUCAUAGACUGGGGAAACAUCUGCCUAAAUCUUUUUACAUUAAAAAAUUACAUUACAUUCUUGUUAAUGAGUUUUGAAAAUUCUUUCUAUAUUUUGUAUACAAACAUAUCUCUCUACCAGAGAUAUGUUUGGCCAAUAUUUUCUCCCAGUUUGUAGCAUGUAUUUUCAGUUUUGUAACGGUAUAUUUUAUAAAGCAAUUUAUUUUUAUUUGGCUGAAGUCUAAUUUAUCAUUUUUUUUUCCUUUUAUGGUUAAUGCCUGUGUCCUGUCUAAGAAAUCCUUCCCUAACCUAAGGUCACAAGGUUUUCUUCUAGAAGUCUUAUAAUGUUAGUUUUAUGAUUAGGUUUAUGAUCCACUUUGAGUUAAUUUUUGUAUCUGGUGUGAGGUUCAUUUUUGUAAAGGUAUAUUCACUUGUUCAUGAACCAUUUAUUGAAAAGACUAUCCUGCUCCUCAUUAAAUGUCUUUCACACCUUUAUCAAAAAUCAAUUUACCAUAUGUAGUGAUUCUAUUUCUGGAUCCUCUAUUCUGUCUCAUUUUUGUGUAUGUCUAUGCUUACACCAUUAUCACACUGUUUAAUUAAAAUAGUAAGUCUUGAAAUUAUAUGGUAUAAGUCUUCUAAUUUUGUUUUUUUUUUUUUGAUAGGUGCAUAUUUAUAAAAAACUUCCCACAGUAUUCCAAAGUAGAUGUGCCAUUUUAUCCUCCAAACAGCAAUGUAUUAGAGUUCCAGUGGUUUCCAAAGCCCCUGUCAACAUUUGGAUUGUCCGUCUUUUUUGAUUUUAGCCAUCCUAAUGGCAAAAGCCAUCUCCCAUGUAACCACAUGCUUCAGGAGAAGCUGACCCUACACCUAGCUCCACUGAAAACCAUAAGAAAGGAAUGUCAUGCCUAUAAUUGCUGCAGCUAUUUUAAUUCCAAGUAUGAGGUUGAAACAAUCAUGGAUGGCCAAGUGAAGAGAUGGAAAAAGCAGGAUUCAGGAUAACUUUAUUUUUUUGGAAGAUGACCAAAAUGCUAUCUCUAUUUGGAGAUAAUAAUUAGUCUCAUCUUCAUUGGCUUCUUCUCGAAUGCGGAGGGAAUUAUCGGAUGAGUACAUUGGAACAUGGUCGCCAUGUGGCCUGCUGCCCCCGUGUACCACUUGGAGACCAGCCUAGCAUGGAAAUGACCAGAUGUUGGAAGCUGAGCUACUGCUCAAGGUAUUAAUGCUUGAAAGAUAUUCCAUGUUUGAAGGGAUUUUUGUGGUGCUGGCCUACAAGUUGACCUUUUUGACGUGAAUAAGAAACAUUCUUCAAAACUGUGGUUGACAUCCAAGCUUGCUGUCAUGUUUUGAACUGCCCUAUGGAGAAAGCAACAUGGCUAAGAAUAUGAGAGAGCCAACAGGACAAUGAGGACCUCAAUACAGCAAGAAACCAAAUCCUGCCAACAACCAUUUCUCAGAUUCUGAAGACCAGGACUCCUCAUGAAUCUGUCAGCCCCCCUCACCCCAGCUCUGGGCCUCUGUGUCACCACCACUGCCACCUCAUCAUUAUUUUAUUUCAUGCCAGUCACUAGACUAAACACCUUACAGGCUUUAUCACAUUUAAUUCCUUCAGCAACACCAACAGGCACUCACAUCUCUACCCCACCAGCAGCGUCUUAGAGGCAGUGAGAACUCUAUUUUAGAAGUGGCUGGUGUGGCUUUACCUCACUUUGGAGAGGAUACAUGGUGAUGCUGACCUCCAGGGCCAGCUGCUUGGCUUGCCAAGACAGUGUCCUCAGAGACUGUGCAUGCAGACCCACAGCCUACCUGCCCUGCCCCCGGGUCCUUGCUCUGUCUUUAGCCAGCCUUUGUGGGCGUUCACUUCCCAGCACUACGAGGGAGGCUGACUGGCCUAUUUCCUCCUGACUCAAGGAAGGUUUGCUUGCUGAAAGAUUAUCCA